UGUAUAACUUUUAUAUAUGUAAACAUCUGUGCUUAUUAAGAUGUAAAUACAUAUGUGUGAGCACAAAGGUGUUUAUAUAUGAAAUAAGUUACACCGCAUGUUGCUAGUUAAAAGAAGCACUUCAGAAGCGCCACGUGCUUCAUGUUAUUUCCUUGACCAGGGUGAUGGACAGGAAAGGAAAUCUGUUGGCUCAGAUAUUAAACUCGUGUAAAAUAUCAUGUGUGGGUCUUUUUGCCUGCUUACUCCCCAGCGACAUUCUUGCCUUCCUGUUCUCUGUUUAUUCAGUCGCAAGAAAUAUUUUCACGUGGUGGUGGUGGUGGUGAGUAUGUGUGGAAAGCCAUCAUUUUGACAGGAAAUGUGCAUUUCUCUUUAUUUUCCAGUCAAGCAAGUUGAACUGCAUGAGCUGGAAGACAGCCCAGCAGCCUCUCUGUUUAUUUACCAUCAAGGUACCGAGAGAUGGAACGGGCAGAGAUAAUGACAGUCCAGAAAGGCAGAGUUAUGAUGCUUCUCUAUCUGCACAGUGGCUCCAGCUUAUCUAUAGCAAUAAAAACAAAAAAUGUAGAUGUGCCAGGAGAGAGGUGGAUGCUGACAGCGAUCUCAUCAUCAGAAAUACACAGUGGAAUUAACGCUGUUGUUCUCAAUGGUUCCCUGGAGCAAAAAUAAUAAUAUUGGGAAAGAAGUAAGUAGGGGAUACCGCGGACUGCCAGAAAGGUGAACAAGCGGGUCGUACAUCAAAUCAAGCCUGAACUGUAUCGCUGGAAGCAACAAUAUUGAGGCUGAGGUUGUCCUACUUUGGGCACAUCACAAGAAGAUAGGAUUUUCCUAUCCAUCGUGCUGGGAAAGGUGGAAGGCCGCAGGAAAAGAGGAAGAUAAAAUAUUAAAUUGAUUUGACUCCCUAAAGGAACCCACAGGGCAGAGUUUACAGGAGCUGAGUAGAGCUGUUGAGGAAGAGGGCAUUUUGUAGAUCGGUUAUUAAUAGCAUCACCAUAUGUUGGAAGUGGCUUGACAGCACAUAACAGCAGCAGCAACAAAAUAAUAUUCUGUAUAAAUGGUGCAUCCUGAAUUUACUGCAUGCAGAAGGUAAAGGGAAAAUUUAAUUGUUUUAAAUGACCUUAAUAUGUCUGGUACUAAUAUAUCCCUCCUCACCAUUCCAUAAUUUUCCAUUUGGCAUGCUUUGGAUAUUUUCCCCCUCUCUGAUUGUUCUAUUUUUCCACCUUGUCCAGGGAACUACAGAAUGGGGAGUUUUAUUAAGGCCCAGGAGAGAUCUGAGGAAUUAACUCCCACUUCCUUUCCUCUAAUGGCUGCUGAGGGUGGGAGGGAAGGCCAGACAUGAGGCAGUAGACAGUCAGGGAAGGGGCUUUGCCUCGGCUCCUAUCGGGCAAAUCAAAAAUUAAUUAUUUAGAGUUAGCAGGGCAGACCUCCUUUCUCCCAAGACUCCCACUGAAACUUGAGGGAGAAACAAUGAUUCUCAGAGAGACAGUUUUGCUUCAACUUGUUAACUCUAAAAUAAUGUUCUAAAAACUCUUAAGUAACCAAAUCACUCAGGCUGCCUUUAAAAAAAAAUCCUUUUCAAGGUUCAUGAUGAUUUCGGUUUUUUUUUAAAAGACUUAUUAUGUAGAACCUUCUACAGCAUUCCCAACCAUGUACUUGCCACCAUAGAGAACAUGCAAGGUCACUUAUGUUCUGAAGUAGAGAACAAGCCGUGGGCUCUCUGGAGAAAAGUCAGGAGGAUAUCGAUGUAAUAAAAAUUAAAAAGACAGAAUCA
ensembl:lncRNA